GGGAUAUCUCGCCCAGCCCAGCAUUCUUUCUAAGUGGAUCAGAAUACCAGAGCCAGAAAUCUGUAUUUCCUGAAAUCCUUCUAUGUGAGUAUCUUUUCUAUUGGUCUUUGCCAAGAUCACAGAUGUUCUUCAUUCAUUAGCGUAAAGUGUCCAAGGUGGACCCAUCCUGAACAAGGCACAGGGGAAGUUUCAUCUCUUCAGAGGCCUUUCUUCACCAUUUGGCAUAUUUACCAGAUACUCACCAAACUGCAGCCUAUGGAGUCUACCACACAGACAUGUGAGAAAGCUGCCAGCAGAUGUGAUCCACUGACACAAGGGGCUAAAUCAAGAAACAGAAGAGGAGCCACAGUAUGAGAGAGGCAGUGCAGUCCUAUGACGGCAACUAUCCCUCAACCCCAGAAAACAAGGAGACAGAAAGAACAGAUUCUUGUCCCAGACAAGCAGUGACCAAGUUCACAUGUUACUUCUGUCUUCAUUGGUGGGGGCCCAGCCUGCAGCUGCUGAAUCAGAAGGAGCAACUAGAAAGA